UGUGCUGUGUUUUGAUUUUUUUAAAUUAUUUUGUUGAAGUUAUUUGUUUUAACUUUGAAAAUUGAAAUUGAAUUGAAUUUGAAAAUACGAUAAUUUGAUACAAUUAUGUUUAAAAUAAAAUUAGAUAUAUUCGAGAAUGAUCAAAUUAUAGAUACAGUUGAAAACGUGACUAAUACAGACCCAGACCAUCUGGUUAUAUCUUUAGAAGCAUUUCGCCAAACUGUUAAUGAUAAACUUACUCAGAAAGUUAACGGAAACGAUGGCGAUGUCGAAGACUGUGAUAUUGAAGAAGUAGUGAGCAGCAGUGAAGAUGAAGCAGCAGAAGUUAAUUGUGGCACCCCAAAGAGGAGAAAGAAGUGAAAAGGUUAUUAUAAUACAUUAUAUACUAAGAGCUGUUUUUACCACCCAAAGUGUCAAAUUUUGACAAGAUUUGCCUUUGUCAUUUUGGUAUAAAUUAAGAAAAAGACAAAGCUUAUGUUUUUGUGCUUAUCAGAAAGUUUUCAAAGCGGCUCUAAUUUUUUAAAUGGUUUAUUACUGAAUCAUUAAAUGUUUGUUGAAUAUCUUGUCAAAAUAUUUUUCACACUCUUACACUAAGAAAAGCAAUCUUUGUCAUGAAACAUACUUUUAGGCAUUCAUAAAGAGAUUCUGCCUUUUUUUGAAAUCAAAUCAUAAAUUUCUCUUAGAAGAUUGAUGAGAGACUAUAAUAGCAAGUACCUAUCUAUAUAUCAUCAUCACCUUACCCUUAUCCCACUUAAGUGGGGUCAGAAAAAUAUGUCAAACUUUUCCAUUUGUCUCUAUUACUUGUCAACUAAUCAUCCACUUCUUUUACACACAUGUCCUCUUUCACACAAUCCAACCGUCUCUUCUUUGGCCUUCCUCUCCUCUUAUGACCUUCCACUUGCACAUUCAACAUUUUACUAGUUAUAUGACUUUCUUCUCUACGCAUUACAUGUCCAUACCAAGCUAACCUUCUACUCCUCAACUUUUAUGACAGAGGGUAGGGAUAGGGCAGUUGAAAGUUAACAUCAAAUAGCACGGCGACGAAGUUGUGGGCGUCCGCUAGUAUUAAAUAACCAAUAUUAUUUUACAGGGUAUUUGUUGAAAUUAAUUAAUAAAAUGCAUAACUUUGUUUACUUGUGUAUUUUCUUUUAAAUAUUGUAUCACAUUUAUUUUUAUUCACAACAAAUUCUAUAACUACUCCCUAUACUUAGCUCAUAACACUCUUAAGAAAAUUACUGGGAGUUUCAGCCGUCUAUAGUAAGUAGUUAUAAGUAUGAGUACUACUCACAAUGGUUUAAACACUAAAAAUAUUAUUUACAUUACAUAGAAGUAUUUCAUACAAUUCACAUUUAAAUCUUGGACUAAUAGAGUUUAACUCUACAAUAAAACUAUUUUAAUUAGCCCUUUAUUAAAUUUAUAUUAUGCUGGUGUACUCUGUAGUACUUACUGGUUUUAAUGUGUUUAGGGUUACUGAUACCAUUUGUGUAAUAUUCUAACAAUGUUAGAAAAAAGGAAUAAUUAUAAUAUUUUUUUAUAAAACAAGAUAAAUUUACUCGUAUUUGGAAUGUGUUAGAUCACAGUAGCAGGUAUAAAGACAAAGGGACAAUAUAUUAUGUAAUUAUUAAAAGUAUAAUCUAAUGGAAUGUUUACAAAGUACUAUAGAUAUAAAAUUUAUCCUAUAAAUCUUUAAGAUGCAAACUGUGUCAUAUUUUGCCAAAGGUAGUUCAGGGCAUUGGCAUUGGUAACAAUUAAAUAUAUUAUUCAGUUAUUUAUAUAAGAAAAAUAAUAAAAUCAAUGAACUUUCA